CCCUUAGAUGUUCUGGGCUGCACGCGCGCUACACUGAUGCAUUCAACGAGUUUCUUCCUUAGUCGAUAGACUCGGGUAAUCUUUUGAACAUGCAUCGUGAUGGGGCUAGAUUAUUGUAAUUAUUAAUCUUCAACGAGGAAUUCCUAGUAGGUGCAAAUCAUCAGUUUGCAUCGAUUACGUCCCUGCCCUUUGUACACACCGCCCGUCGCUGCUACCGAUUGAGUGUCCUGGUGAGUUGUUUGGACCGAGCUCGGAACCGGUUCCCGGCGCCGAGAUUGGAAAAUUCUGCAAACCCUGACACUUAGAGGAAGCAGAAGUCGUAACA
rnacentral:rRNA from 1 species